UACGAAGGGGGCUAGCGUUGCUCGGAAUCACUGGGCGUAAAGCGCACGUAGGCGGAUUGCUAAGUCAGGGGUGAAAUCCUGGAGCUCAACUCCAGAACUGCCUUUGAUACUGGCGAUCUCGAGUCCGGGAGAGGUGAGUGGAACUGCGAGUGUAGAGGUGAAAUUCGUAGAUAUUCGCAAGAACACCAGUGGCGAAGGCGGCUCACUGGCCCGGUACUGACGCUGACGGUGCGAAAGCGUGGGGAGCGAACGAGG
rnacentral:rRNA from 1 species